AUGAAUGGGAUCCGUGGAGUUCAGGCGAGAGGAGGCGAGAGGCGCAAAGACCUCAAAGUCUUCCCUCCAGCCCCGCUGGUGUUUCCUACCCCAAGUUUCCUGCCCAGGCUCCUCACUGCCCCACUCUGUCGCUUGAAAUUUGGAAGGUCUCUAGCCUGCAGACGUACCUCGGAAAAGGGUGCCCUGGAGCUGCCGUUCUACCAUUCAUCCCCCAUCCUCCCAGCCCCCAAAAGGGGCUAUCUGCCAACCAGAAAUCUCCAGAAAGGAAUAAUAAAGUCCAGAAGGAAACCAAACUGGGAUCUAAUUGUGUCUCAAGUAUUUGGAAGGGGCUUUGCUCUCAGAAUUACUUAAGAAGUCCUUACUCUAUUUCCUCCUGCAUUUGGGGGUGCAUGUCCUCUCAAAAUUUGCUCCAAGUUAACUUUCUUUCUCCCAGCCCUCUUUUUCCGCUCCCACUCCACUGUACUCCACCUCCUUGUGUAGCCAGAAGGGACCACAAGAAUCCAGGCUCAGAGCGGGGAGGGGUCCACUGCUGUGUUUGGAAAACUCCUCUGCCCUUGGCUUAGCUCCAGGCUGAUCCUCUUGCAGGCCCGCAACUGACUGGAUGUCCCUGGGUUCUGUCUUACUCAUUGGGGUGAAGCCGUGCAGGUCCCGCAAGUGACCAGAUCCUCCUCUUAACUUCACAAUGACUCUCUCUCUCUCUCUCUAGUGGCAGUAACAGCUAGAAGAGUUGGAGGGUCUGAGGUACAUUCUUGACUUUUUAAUGUGGGAGAGGAAAAGAUCCAAAAGUGCUGGUCUCUUAAACCUCUAGAAUCCUGGGUGAGUGAGUCGCUGACCCACCAGGCCUAGAGCUACAUAAAGUCCAGUCCAACAGGUCUCUAACCGGGGUCUGGAGAUCUCAGGACAGACUCUUUGUAGCCUUAACUGCUUUCUCUGACGGUCCUGGCUUGAGCCCCAGCAGUGGGUCCAGCUUGGGUAUUUUCUUUUCUUGAUACUGAUAAACAUAGAAAAAUGGCUUCCACCUUCCAUCUUCACCUCCCCACAACCCUCAGCCACCAACUCUCUAGGCAGGC
rnacentral:lncRNA from 1 species